rnacentral:rRNA from 1 species
GCCACUGCUAUUGGGGUUCGGCUAAGCCAUGCGAGUGGAGGGCGUCCCGCAAGGGAUGGCCCCGCAGACGGCUCAGUAACACGUCGUCAACCCACCUUAGGGUGGGGGACAACCUCGGGAGACUGAGGAUAAUCCCCCAUAGGCGGGGGAGGCUAGAAUGCGCCCCCGCUGAAAGCUCAGGCGCUCUAGGACGGGACGGCGGCCUAUCAGGUAGUUGGUGGUGUGACG